UGCGUAGGCGGCGCGGUAAGUCGGGUGUGAAAUCUCGGAGCUUAACUCCGAAACUGCAUUCGAUACUGCCGUGCUUGAGGACUGGAGAGGAGACUGGAAUUUACAGUGUAGCGGUGAAAUGCGUAGAUAUCGUAAGGAAGACCAGUGGCGAAGGCGGGUCUCUGGACAGUUCCUGACGCUGAGGCACGAAGGCCGGGGGAGACGAAACG
rnacentral:rRNA from 1 species